rnacentral:rRNA from 1 species
GGGUUGUGAGGUUAAGCGACUAAGCGUACACGGUGGAUGCCCUGGCAGUCAGAGGCGAUGAAGGGCGUGCUAAUCUGCGAUAAGCGCCGGUAAGGUGAUAUGAACCGUUAUAACCGGCGAUACCCGAAUGGGGAAACCCAGUGUGAUUCGUCACACUAUCAUUAACUGAAUCCAUAGGUUAAUGAGGCGAACCGGGGGAACUGAAACAUCUAAGUACCCCGAGGAAAAGAAAUCAACCGAGAUUCCCCCAGUAGCGGCGAGCGAACGGGGAGGAGCCCAGAGCCUGAAUCAGCAUGUGUGUUAGUGGAAGCGUCUGGAAAGGCGCGCGAUACAGGGUGACAGCCCCGUACACAAAAGCGCAUGUGCUGUGAGCUCGAUGAGUAGGGCGGGACACGUGGUAUCCUGUCUGAAUAUGGGGGGACCAUCCUCCAAGGCUAAAUACUCCUGACUGACCGAUAGUGAACCAGUACCGUGAGGGAAAGGCGAAAAGAACCCCGGCGAGGGGAGUGAAAAAGAACCUGAAACCGUGUACGUACAAGCAGUGGGAGCCUCUUUUAUGGGGUGACUGCGUACCUUUUGUAUAAUGGGUCAGCGACUUAUAUUCUGUAGCAAGGUUAACCGAAUAGGGGAGCCGGAGGGAAACCGAGUCUUAAUUGGGCGUUAAGUUGCAGGGUAUAGACCCGAAACCCGGUGAUCUAGCCAUGGGCAGGUUGAAGGUUGGGUAACACUAACUGGAGGACCGAACCGACUAAUGUUGAAAAAUUAGCGGAUGACCUGUGGCUGGGGGUGAAAGGCCAAUCAAACCGGGAGAUAGCUGGUUCUCCCCGAAAGCUAUUUAGGUAGCGCCUCGUGAAUUCAUCUCCGGGGGUAGAGCACUGUUUCGGCUAGGGGGCCAUCCCGGCUUACCAACCCGAUGCAAACUGCGAAUACCGGAGAAUGUUAUCACGGGAGACACACGGCGGGUGCUAACGUCCGUCGUGAAGAGGGAAACAACCCAGACCGCCAGCUAAGGUCCCAAAGUCAUGGUUAAGUGGGAAACGAUGUGGGAAGGCCCAGACAGCCAGGAUGUUGGCUUAGAAGCAGCCAUCAUUUAAAGAAAGCGUAAUAGCUCACUGGUCGAGUCGGCCUGCGCGGAAGAUGUAACGGGGCUAAACCAUGCACCGAAGCUGCGGCAGCGACGCUUAUGCGUUGUUGGGUAGGGGAGCGUUCUGUAAGCCUGCGAAGGUGGCCUGUGAGGGUUGCUGGAGGUAUCAGAAGUGCGAAUGCUGACAUAAGUAACGAUAAAGCGGGUGAAAAGCCCGCUCGCCGGAAGACCAAGGGUUCCUGUCCAACGUUAAUCGGGGCAGGGUGAGUCGACCCCUAAGGCGAGGCCGAAAGGCGUAGUCGAUGGGAAACGGGUUAAUAUUCCCGUACUUGGUGUUACUGCGAAGGGGGGACGGAGAAGGCUAUGUUGGCCGGGCGACGGUUGUCCCGGUUUAAGCGUGUAGGUGUGUGUUCCAGGUAAAUCCGGUUCACUUUAACACUGAGGCGUGACGACGAGGCACUACGGUGCUGAAGCAACAAAUGCCCUGCUUCCAGGAAAAGCCUCUAAGCAUCAGGUAACAUCAAAUCGUACCCCAAACCGACACAGGUGGUCAGGUAGAGAAUACCAAGGCGCUUGAGAGAACUCGGGUGAAGGAACUAGGCAAAAUGGUGCCGUAACUUCGGGAGAAGGCACGCUGACACGUAGGUGAAGUGAUUUACUCACGGAGCUGAAGUCAGUCGAAGAUACCAGCUGGCUGCAACUGUUUAUUAAAAACACAGCACUGUGCAAACACGAAAGUGGACGUAUACGGUGUGACGCCUGCCCGGUGCCGGAAGGUUAAUUGAUGGGGUCAGCGCAAGCGAAGCUCCUGAUCGAAGCCCCGGUAAACGGCGGCCGUAACUAUAACGGUCCUAAGGUAGCGAAAUUCCUUGUCGGGUAAGUUCCGACCUGCACGAAUGGCGUAAUGAUGGCCAGGCUGUCUCCACCCGAGACUCAGUGAAAUUGAACUCGCUGUGAAGAUGCAGUGUACCCGCGGCAAGACGGAAAGACCCCGUGAACCUUUACUAUAGCUUGACACUGAACAUUGAGCCUUGAUGUGUAGGAUAGGUGGGAGGCUUUGAAGUGUGGACGCCAGUCUGCAUGGAGCCGACCUUGAAAUACCACCCUUUAAUGUUUGAUGUUCUAACGUGGAUCCGUAAUCCGGGUUGCGGACAGUGUCUGGUGGGUAGUUUGACUGGGGCGGUCUCCUCCUAAAGAGUAACGGAGGAGCACGAAGGUUGGCUAAUCCUGGUCGGACAUCAGGAGGUUAGUGCAAUGGCAUAAGCCAGCUUGACUGCGAGCGUGACGGCGCGAGCAGGUGCGAAAGCAGGUCAUAGUGAUCCGGUGGUUCUGAAUGGAAGGGCCAUCGCUCAACGGAUAAAAGGUACUCCGGGGAUAACAGGCUGAUACCGCCCAAGAGUUCAUAUCGACGGCGGUGUUUGGCACCUCGAUGUCGGCUCAUCACAUCCUGGGGCUGAAGUAGGUCCCAAGGGUAUGGCUGUUCGCCAUUUAAAGUGGUACGCGAGCUGGGUUUAGAACGUCGUGAGACAGUUCGGUCCCUAUCUGCCGUGGGCGCUGGAGAACUGAGGGGGGCUGCUCCUAGUACGAGAGGACCGGAGUGGACGCAUCACUGGUGUUCGGGUUGUCAUGCCAAUGGCACUGCCCGGUAGCUAAAUGCGGAAGAGAUAAGUGCUGAAAGCAUCUAAGCACGAAACUUGCCCCGAGAUGAGUUCUCCCUGAGACUUAAAGUCUCCUGAAGGAACGUUGAAGACGACGACGUUGAUAGGCCGGGUGUGUAAGCGCAGCGAUGCGUUGAGCUAACCGGUACUAAUGAACCGUGAGGCUUAACCUUACAACGCCGAAG